rnacentral:ribozyme from 1 species
UGCCCAGCAACUCCUAUCCCUACCUCCACGCGGUACCGGCCGGAAACUAUGAGCAACCUUAGCGAAGAUCGGGUAACCAACCCCGGUGGGAACUUUGGUCGUAGGCUAACAGGGAAGG